rnacentral:rRNA from 1 species
CCGACGGUGAGAGGCGAAAGCUGGGGGAGCAAACCGGAUUAGAUACCCGGGUAGUCCCAGCUGUAAACGAUGCGCGUUAGGUGUAUCAGUGACCACGAGUCACUGAGGUGCCGAAGAGAAAUCGUGAAACGUGCCGCCUGGGAAGUACGGUCGCAAGGCUGAAACUUAAAGGAAUUGGCGGGGGAGCACCACAACAGGUGGAGCCUGCGGUUUAAUCGGACUCAACGCCGGGAAACUCACCAGUUAAGACAGCUGAAUGAUAGUCGGGCUGAAGACUCUACUUGACUAGCUGAGAGGAGGUGCAUGGCCGUCGUCAGUUCGUACUGUGAAGCAUCCUGUUAAGUCAGGCAACGAGCGAGACCCACGCCAACAGUUGCU